GCUCUCGGAGCGCAGGGUCCGGGAGGCGCCGGAGCCUCGCCGACUCCAGGCGUUUCUCCUUUGGGGAGAAGCUGAAAAGCUUCCGGGAAAGGCCGCAGGUUUGCACGGCGAGGUUAAGGGAAAGAACUUGAGCCAUUGAAAGAAAGCUCCUCUCCCUUCUGAGGGAACCAGUGAAAAUCAGACCUUGCCAUAAUGGUAGGUGUUACUGGGAGGUGACCUGUGGAACGCAACAGGGUAACAUUGGUGUCUCUACUCAGGAGGUGGGUGCUGCUGUGGCAUACAACGUGCUCCUUAAGUGGAUUCUUUUGUAGCCAAGCCAACUUCCCAGCUAAGAACAAGCCAAGCACCUGAAAACAGAGGUCUACAAUGACUAAAUCAUGGUCUGAAGUGGGCCAUUGGCGUCCUGUCUCUCACCAGGCAUAUCUGUCUUGAGAGAGACAACCCAGUUCCUGAAACUGCUUUCGAUCUAGGGGACGGAAAUCAGGUUGGGGAGGUGGGGAGGUGACUGAUGCCCAUGUAUCCUUUCCUUUUUCUCUACCACUUCUGACAAGUCUCCUCUCUCACCUUUUUCGAGACUGGUGUCAAAGAGUGCUUUAUUUGGUUGAGAUGCAUAGGUACUUAAUGAAGAUUUGAAAUGAGCUGUCUGCAACAAUUUAGUCCACAACCAUUUUCUAAUACUUCAGGUAAAAAUGUGAGUCAUUUUCACGUUUUUUUCACCUUUGUACGGAGUCCCUCACCAGGGCCUGCUAACUUACUUCUCUUUCAUAUCCCCUGGAUUUGAUUCUGCUAUUUUAUUUCCUUGGUCAUCACCCUAGGAUUUGUUGCACCUGAAAUUUUCCAACUAAGUUACAAAAAGUAAGUCCAGAAAUUGUUGAUAUUCAACUGCUCAGAGCCCUGUGAAAAACACUCCCAGGCACUAGCAGAAAGUAGCAGCGUUAAUUAGCAUCAGCAUUUAUAUUAGUUUGCAGGGCAACGGAGAACCCAGAGACUUCUUUCAGUGUGCAUGCUGCACAGUCUCCCACUUGUCUCCCAAGCCCUCAUGCAUGACAGCCCAAGCACCCAGAAGUAAAAGUAAGGAUUCCUAAGGAAUGGUCAAAGGAAAUAUUUAGAGCAAUAAAGAGAAAGAGGAGAUGGGUAUUGGAAGUAACCAUGGGGAAUUUCAGUGCACACAUGCUUUCUUAGUUUUGUACAUUUCCCUCAGGGGAAAUGCUUUGUGUGCUUACAAAUGGACAGCCCCUUUCUGCUGCUUGCUAGGUGUUUGAAUAGCUCUAGCUGUGUGCAUUAUUCAGGUGAUGGCCAAUGUGGCAGUCACGAGAACAUGCCUUUGCAGACCUCUUUUUACAAGGAACAAAAUUCACCAAAGACCCUAGCUGCUGCACUCUGAAAUUUAUCACGGUGCUUAGGUACAGUAUACCUCCCACAGGGUGCUCCCCACCAAUGAAUGGAUGCAGCAGGAUACUAAGGCAGUUGUCCUGGGAGACAUCUCUUCUAUAGGCUGACUUUGGCUCAAGGACUCCCUGACCAGCUUUGCCAAACCUUCCUUAAGGUGCACAACAUUCCAGGAUGCUUAUCCCAACCUUCUCUCCCUCUUACUUCACUCAGGAUUAGAUGCCUCUCCCAGCCAUUCUGGCUCUCUAUUUCCUUUCAAAUAGGUGUUUCCUCAAAUAAAAUCCUUACAUGUUAAUCUGCUCUUGGUGUGUGCUUUUUGGAGGACCCAGACUAGUGCUAAAUUCAGCUCUUAGAUGCAGUAAGUCUUUAAAUGUAAAAGGGAUAAGUCUUGAUUUAUCCACGAUACGAGAUUUUAACUAGGAAUGAGAAAACAAAAAUUUACUUAUGGUUAUGUUGAGGCCUGCUGAAUUAUAUAUUGAGAGUUGAUAUGUACUUAAUGCAUUUGACUUUUAUAAUCUUUGCUAAAGCUUUUCUACAGAAUGAGGUUUGGUUUUUUUUAAUGUUUGUUUAUUUUUGAGUGAGAGAAAGAGCGUGUGCUUGAGCAGGGGAGGGGCAGACAGAGAGGGGGACAGAGGAUCUGAAGUGGACUUCGUGCUGACAGCAGAGAGCCCAUUGUGGGACUUGAACCCACAAAAUGCAAGAUCAUGACCCGAGCCGAAAUCGGAUGUUUCACCUACUGAGCCACCCAGGCUCCCCCCAGGAUGAGAAGGUUUUAAAUACAACUUUCACUUUGUUCUUUCUCAGAUCUUUCUUAAGAAUUCUGAUUUCUGUCUGUAGGUUUGCAAUACAAAAAGAGAUUCUCUUUUUUCAAAAAGAGAACUCAUCUCAACUCAUCUUCUUGAGUUUUGAGAAGGAUUUCAGAAUAAAAACCUCAUGUGCAUUCUCCCUGCUCUCAUCUGAGUAGACCAGAUCUCUUUUAGGUUGUGUCAAAUCUGGAUUGUUUUCUUUUCUUUCUUUCUUUCUUUCUUUCUUUUUUUUUUUUUUAAUAUCUGGCACUUUAUUCAUCCCCAAAGGACUGAGUCAUGUUUAAUAUCUUUGGUGACUAGAUCACAAGGGCUUUUUAUUUGUAGGGAGUGCUUUGUGGUAGAUAAUUUUUUCAGAUUAUUGGCACAGAAGAAAUAAUGUAAGUACAUUCUGAAUGUAAAAAUGCAUCCACACAUUUCAUUAUUCUCAAUUUGUUUUUUCAUCUUUUGAUAGCCAGAAGGUAGUAUAGGUGGCCAAGGACAAUAGUAUCAAUAUGAAAGCAUGAAAUUCAUUUAUUUAGCUAUGUUUAAAUCAGAAAUCAAAUGUUUCUGGCUUAGUGUUUGUUACUCCUAAUAUUCUUUCUAACUUUGUAUUUGAGAAUUAUAUGGUUGUACUUAAGUGAUGCAAAAAUUCUGUACAUUACCCCUUGGCCACAGAGGUUAGGUUAGUACUUGAGAAAAGCCAGGGCAAUCAAAAUGUUGCCUGCAUUUUUCAGACUGUCACUGGGUGAAAAAUGUUCUUACCUCCUGAACAUCACAGCUAGAAGAGUGUGGUAUAGGGCUGCCUACACUCAAGUGGUCCCUGCCUCCCCACCCCACCCCCCCCGCGUAGACAAAUAUGUGUGCAUCAGAGAGAGUAAAGAAGAACAUUCUGUUGAGAGUCCAGUUGUUCUUUCUCGGGUAUUUCUUAAGAAUUCUGAUUUCUGUCUGUAGGUUUGCAAUACAAAAAGAGAUUCUCUUUUUUCAAAAAGAGAACGCAUCUCAUCUCAACUCAUUAACUCAUAACUCAACUCAUUAACAUGUAAGGAUUUUAUUCGAGGAAACACCUAUUUGAAAGGGAAUAGCCAGAAUGGCUGGGAGAGGCAUGCGUCUAAUCCUGAGCGAAGUAAGAGGGAGAGAAGGUUGGGAGAAGCAUCCUGGAAUGCAGUGCCCAGGUCUUUUGAGGUUCUGAGGUCUAUUAAGAAGACAGAUGAACCAGUCCUUUCAUCUAUACCCUAUCUUGGCCUCUGAAACUUCCCUUGUAUGAUUGGUCAUGAAUGCAAUCUCUUUCCUUAGAACUCCAUGAGUAAACAUCAUCUAACAUCGUUUAAAAACUUGCCCUCAAGUUCUUUGACAUUUUUCCCCACUAGAAAUGGAGUCUUUGUCUCCUCCUUUAAAAUCUGGGCUGGUCUUGGUGACCUGUUUGUAAUCAGUAAAACGAAGCAGAAGCGAUGCUGUGUGACGUUGGAGGCGGGGCAACGGUUUUCUGGAGUGCUUUCUGCCUGGUUUUCUCAGAAUGCUUUCUGUGCCAUCAGGUGAGAAGCUCCCCUCUCCUACUGGGCUGAAUGUCGCCGCUCUGGUAGACAGUCUUGGCUGAGCUCCCAGUUGACAGGCAAUGUCAACUGCUGCUAGCCUUGUGAAUGCUUCAUCUUAGACAACCAUGGCCCCAUUGAGCUCUUGGAUGACAGCGGCACAACCAUCUGAUUACAACCACACAGCAACCUUCAGACGAGAACUACCCAGCUAAACCCUUCCCCAAUUCCCGACGUGUAAAAUCGAGAGCAAAAUAAAAUGGCCACAGUAAGCCACUGAGGUCAUUUGUUACAUAGCAUUAGGUCAUUUUGUUACAUAGCAAUAGUAACAAGAGCAUAGGUUUGCUUGGGUAAUUUAUUCUAAUCACAAAGAAAUGUAGCAGUACACUUUCCAGGGGUGGAAUAGAUGGAAUUUAAAUUGUUUUGCAUUUUUAAAAACCUUUCUUCUGAUAGGUUCCUUGUAGAACUCUUAAGCAGAUACAAGGACACAGUCUAGAUUCAAAUAUCUGACUCUGGUUCCAAAAUUUGAUAUGGGAAAUAUAGAUCAGAUCUUAUUAAAUCAACCUUAUAGGAACUGUAUGGAUAUUUUAUAAUACUGAAAAUCUGUUUUGGUGUUUUUUAUUUUAUUUUAUUUUACAAAACUGGCCUUGAAAAUUUUGUUUCAUUAAACUUGACUUUCACUUAUUCUUUCUAUCUGAAGUUGGAUCAAAGGGGGGAAAAAGAAGGGGGAGAUGAUGAUAAAAAAUGAGGGCAGAACCUUCUUUCUAUCAGUGACUACGAGAACACUGUUUUCUCCGAGAGACAGUUAAAGGGAAGUUAUCAGUGGGGGUGCUGGAACUCCCAUUCUCUCCCAGCAGUCAUGAGGAGCGUCUCAGCUUGGAAGUCAAGAAGGCCAAGUGCAAACCUGCACUUUCACCCCCACCUGGCAGUAAUGAGGCAGCACUCCCUUCCCUGGCUGGAGUGGGGUCAGAAAAAGCCAUACAGGGUUUAAGUAAGAUCCAGAGUCUCAUAACAUAUUAUCUAAAAUGUCCUGAUUCCAUUAAAAAAUCAUUGUCCUAUCAAGAACCAGGCAGAGCCCAAAUAGAAUGAAAAAAUACACUCAACAGAUGCCAACACUGAAAUGGCAGAGAUAUUAGAGUUACCUGACAGAGAUUAUGAAGCAUUCAUCAUAAAAAUGUUUCAACUAGCAACUAUGAAUACACUUGAAACAAGUGAAAAAACAAAGUCUCAGCAAAGAAAAAGAAGAAGCAAUUAGAAAUUUUGAGAAAUAAAAAAUAUAGUGAAAAACUAAAAUAAAAAACUCAGUGGAUGAGCCCAGUAGCAGCAUCUAGGAGACAGAGGAGAGAAUCCAUGACCUUGGAGACAGAACAAUAGAAAUUACUCAAUCUGAGCAAUAGAGAGAAUAGGCUGGAAAAAAAAAUGAGCAGAGCCUCAGAGACCUGUGGGUCUUCACGAAGAUCCAACAUUCAUGUUAUUGGAGACUCAAAAGACAGGUAGAAAGAAGACCGGGCUGAAAAAGUACCCAAGGAAAUAAUGGCUGGAAACUCCCGCAAUAUGGCAAAAUCCAUAAACCUACAGAUUCAAGAAACUGAGUCUACUCCAAACACAGUUAACCUAGAGAAACAGCACCAUUUGCAUUAUAGUCAAGCUUCUGAAAACUAAAGAAGUAUUGAAAGCAGGGAGAAGCACCUUAACUAUAGGGGGAAACAAUUUGAAUGACUGCAAAUGUCUCAUCAGAAACCAAAGAGGCCAGAGGGAAAUGGCAAAACAUUUUUCACGUGCUAAAAGAAUUGUUAAUCCAGAAUCCUAUACCCAGGGGAAAUAUUCCUCAUGAGUGAAGGAGAAAUCAAAGCAUUCCCAGGUGAAGGAACACAGAGGCAAUCUGUUGGUGGAAAAUUACCAUAAGAAAAUGACUAAAUGAGAUUCUCCAAGGAAAAAGGAAACAAUUAAAGAAAUCUUGGAACAUCAGAAAAAAAGAACGUGGUAAGCAAAAAUAUGGAUAAAUACAACUGGCUUCCCUUCUCAUACUGAGUUUUCUAAAGUACAUUUGGUUGUUGAAAAAAAGAU